rnacentral:ncRNA from 1 species
UGUUGUUGCAAUAGCAAUCCUGCUCAGUACGAGAGGAACUGCAGGUUCAAACCCUUGGUGUGAGGCUACCAUCUGCAGGGCUUAUGACUCAAUGCCUCUCAGUCAGAAUGCCUCCUAGACAUAGCAAUACCUCAGCACUGCUGGUGCCUGGAUGGGCUCACAAUAGCUGGCCACCCACCUCAUGAGGAGCCAGCCUGGUGCGGAGUGCUGCUCAGGACCAGAGGGGUGGGCAGAUACGGCACCACCUCUCCCCCACCACAUAUAAUUGUGGGGUACUUGGCACUAAAUCAUUCAUAAAUGACCUGAUUCUGGGUCAGGGUUUUGUACAUAGCAGAGCAACUCCCUUGCUGAGAGCUAUUGAGAAUUAUCCCUUGACACAAGCUUU